rnacentral:lncRNA from 1 species
AUGUUGGAGCUCAUUGUUCCUGAAUCUUUCUUGAAACAAAGGAGAGGAGAGUGCGGACUUCCUGCAUUUCAAGGUCCUUCGGCUGUGGAUAUGGCGACAGCUGGUGAAGAGCCUCUGCUGGUGCUUUUGAGAAUAUAUUCUCCAGGUGCUGAUGUGAUUUCCCAGCAUAAUAUAGUCCAAGAAAGAAACCCAGAGCAGGAAAAAGAAGAGGAGAAAAUGGCAGCUUCUCAGAUCCUUCUCUCCAUUCUCACCAUUGUGGCUUCCUAUAUGACAUGAACAAUUCUCACCAUGACUUAAUGCCCUGCAUCCAUUGAAAAUGUUCCCAGUGUGACAGAUGAAGAGGGAGAGGCAUUAAUGUUCAAGAUUCCCAUUGUCUUUGGGGUCAAGACCUUGGAUAUCAGUGAAGGAGAAACAUCUUAUGUUCACAUCCUAUCUGGAUGCUCCAUCAGCUCUGUUGUAGACUCAGAUUAAGAAAAUGCACAAAUACACAAGAUGACUGUGUGGCCCAGAAUUACUGAGAAAUUUCUGAAAAAGGAAGAGAGCCUUGCUCACUAGAAUGCUAAAGAGACUUACUAUUUAAAACACACUAAAGAUUAUGGGACACUGGAGCUAUAUAUGGCUUAAGAUUUUCAUAAGCUGCUGUUUUCUUAUGGUUAGAUUCAAGUUAUGAUUUACUUUCUUUUUUGUUGGCCAACAAUAACACAGGAGUGGUGAUGUGUCCUUUGGCAUGCUUCAGGCACCUGAUAUCAAUUUUUCCCGUUGCAGCUGAUGUUAACUUCAUUCACUUGGUUCAGGUACUCUCUGCCAGAUUUCUCCUCUAUAUCGUUAAUAUUUUUUCCAAUUAUUAAUAAAAGUUUUGGGGAGAUUUAGUGAGUGACGUGC